rnacentral:rRNA from 1 species
GAUGAACGCUGGCGGCAUGCCUAACACAUGCAAGUUGAACGAACUUAUAUUUUUAUAAAUUUAAGUUAAGUAGCGGACGGGUGAGUAACAUGUAAGAACCUACCUUUAGGAGGGGAAUAACUACUGGAAACGGUAGCUAAAACCCCAUAAGCUGCGGAGUAAAAAGUGAAAACUACCUAAAGAUGGGCUUGCAUCUGAUUAGCUUGUUGGUAAAUUAAUUGUUUACCAAGGCGAUGAUCAGUAGUUGGUCUAAGAGGAUGAUCAACCACACUGGGACUGAGACACGGCCCAGACCUCUACGGAGGGCAGCAGUGAGGAAUUUUCCGCAUGGGCGCAAGCCUGACGGAGCAAUGCCGCGUGGACGAUG